rnacentral:rRNA from 1 species
UACGUAGGUGGCAAGCGUUUGUCCGGAAUUAUUGGGCGUAAAGCGUGCGCAGGCGGUCUCUUAAGUCUGAUGUGAAAGCCCACGGCUCAACCGUGGAGGGUCAUUGGAAACUGGGGGGACUUGGGUACAGAAGAGGAAAGCGGAAUUCCACGUGUAGCGGUGAAAUGCGUAGAGAUGUGGAGGAACACCAGUGGCGAAGGCGGCUUUCUGGUCUGUAACUGACGCUGAGGCGCGAAAGCGUGGGGGAGCAAACAGG